UAAUGCAUCGGAACGUGUCCCGUAAUGGGGGAUAACGCCGCGAAAGCGGCGCUAAUACCGCAUACGCUCUACGGAGGAAAGCAGGGGAUCUGCAAGGACCUUGCGUUAGGGGAGCGGCCGAUGUCCGAUUAGCUAGUUGGUGGGGUAAUGGCUUACCAAGGCGACGAUCGGUAGCUGGUCUGAGAGGAUGAUCAGCCACACUGGGACUGAGACACGGCCCAG
rnacentral:rRNA from 1 species